rnacentral:rRNA from 1 species
GGUUAAGCGACUAAGCGUACACGGUGGAUGCCCUGGCAGUCAGAGGCGAUGAAGGACGUGCUAAUCUGCGAAAAGCGUCGGUAAGGUGAUAUGAACCGUUACAGCCGGCGAUGUCCGAAUGGGGAAACCCAGUGCAAUUCGUUGCACUAUCGUUAACUGAAUACAUAGGUUAACGAGGCGAACCGGGGGAACUGAAACAUCUAAGUACCCCGAGGAAAAGAAAUCAACCGAGAUUCCCCCAGUAGCGGCGAGCGAACGGGGAGCAGCCCAGAGUCUGAAUCAGCUUGUGUGUUAGUGGAACGGUCUGGAAAGUCCGACGGUACAGGGUGAUAGUCCCGUACACCAAAAUGCACAGGUUGUGAACUCGAAGAGUAGGGCGGGACACGUGGUAUCCUGUCUGAAUAUGGGGGGACCAUCCUCCAAGGCUAAAUACUCCUGACUGACCGAUAGUGAACCAGUACCGUGAGGGAAAGGCGAAAAGAACCCCGGCGAGGGGAGUGAAAAAGAACCUGAAACCGUGUACGUACAAGCAGUGGGAGCACCUUCGGGUGUGACUGCGUACCUUUUGUAUAAUGGGUCAGCGACUUAUAUUCUGUAGCAAGGUUAACCGUAUAGGGGAGCCGCAGGGAAACCGAGUCUUAACUGGGCGUUAAGUUGCAGGGUAUAGACCCGAAACCCGGUGAUCUAGCCAUGGGCAGGUUGAAGGUUGGGUAACACUAACUGGAGGACCGAACCGACUAAUGUUGAAAAAUUAGCGGAUGACUUGUGGCUGGGGGUGAAAGGCCAAUCAAACCGGGAGAUAGCUGGUUCUCCCCGAAAGCUAUUUAGGUAGCGCCUCGUGAACUCAUCUUCGGGGGUAGAGCACUGUUUCGGCUAGGGGGUCAUCCCGACUUACCAACCCGAUGCAAACUACGAAUACCGAAGAAUGUUAUCACGGGAGACACACGGCGGGUGCUAACGUCCGUCGUGAAGAGGGAAACAACCCAGACCGCCAGCUAAGGUCCCAAAGUCAUGGUUAAGUGGGAAACGAUGUGGGAAGGCACAGACAGCCAGGAUGUUGGCUUAGAAGCAGCCAUCAUUUAAAGAAAGCGUAAUAGCUCACUGGUCGAGUCGGCCUGCGCGGAAGAUGUAACGGGGCUAAACCAUGCACCGAAGCUGCGGCAGCGACACUAUGUGUUGUUGGGUAGGGGAGCGUUCUGUAAGCCUGCGAAGGUGUGCUGUGAGGCAUGCUGGAGGUAUCAGAAGUGCGAAUGCUGACAUAAGUAACGAUAAAGCGGGUGAAAAGCCCGCUCGCCGGAAGACCAAGGGUUCCUGUCCAACGUUAAUCGGGGCAGGGUGAGUCGACCCCUAAGGCGAGGCCGAAAGGCGUAGUCGAUGGGAAACAGGUUAAUAUUCCUGUACUUGGUGUUACUGCGAAGGGGGGACGGAGAAGGCUAUGUUAGCCGGGCGACGGUUGUCCCGGUUUAAGCAUGUAGGCUGGUUAUCCAGGCAAAUCCGGAUAAUCAAGGCUGAGGUGUGAUGACGAGGCACUACGGUGCUGAAGUAACAAAUGCCCUGCUUCCAGGAAAAGCCUCUAAGCAUCAGGUAACAUCAAAUCGUACCCCAAACCGACACAGGUGGUCAGGUAGAGAAUACCAAGGCGCUUGAGAGAACUCGGGUGAAGGAACUAGGCAAAAUGGUGCCGUAACUUCGGGAGAAGGCACGCUGGUGUGUAGGUGAAGUCCCUGCGGAUGGAGCUGAGACCAGUCGAAGAUACCAGCUGGCUGCAACUGUUUAUUAAAAACACAGCACUGUGCAAACACGAAAGUGGACGUAUACGGUGUGACGCCUGCCCGGUGCCGGAAGGUUAAUUGAUGGGGUUAUCCGUAAGGAGAAGCUCUUGAUCGAAGCCCCGGUAAACGGCGGCCGUAACUAUAACGGUCCUAAGGUAGCGAAAUUCCUUGUCGGGUAAGUUCCGACCUGCACGAAUGGCGUAAUGAUGGCCAGGCUGUCUCCACCCGAGACUCAGUGAAAUUGAACUCGCUGUGAAGAUGCAGUGUACCCGCGGCAAGACGGAAAGACCCCGUGAACCUUUACUAUAGCUUGACACUGAACAUUGAGCCUUGAUGUGUAGGAUAGGUGGGAGGCUUUGAAGCGUGGACGCCAGUCUGCGUGGAGCCAACCUUGAAAUACCACCCUUUAAUGUUUGAUGUUCUAACGUUGGCCCCUGACCGGGGUUGCGGACAGUGUCUGGUGGGUAGUUUGACUGGGGCGGUCUCCUCCCAAAGCGUAACGGAGGAGCACGAAGGUUAGCUAAUCCUGGUCGGACAUCAGGAGGUUAGUGCAAUGGCAUAAGCUAGCUUGACUGCGAGCGUGACGGCGCGAGCAGGUGCGAAAGCAGGUCAUAGUGAUCCGGUGGUUCUGAAUGGAAGGGCCAUCGCUCAACGGAUAAAAGGUACUCCGGGGAUAACAGGCUGAUACCGCCCAAGAGUUCAUAUCGACGGCGGUGUUUGGCACCUCGAUGUCGGCUCAUCACAUCCUGGGGCUGAAGUAGGUCCCAAGGGUAUGGCUGUUCGCCAUUUAAAGUGGUACGCGAGCUGGGUUUAGAACGUCGUGAGACAGUUCGGUCCCUAUCUGCCGUGGGCGCUGGAGAAUUGAGGGGGGCUGCUCCUAGUACGAGAGGACCGGAGUGGACGCAUCACUGGUGUUCGGGUUGUCAUGCCAAUGGCACUGCCCGGUAGCUAAAUGCGGAAGAGAUAAGUGCUGAAAGCAUCUAAGCACGAAACUUGCCCCGAGAUGAGUUCUCCCUGAGACU